rnacentral:tRNA from 1 species
CGCUCAGUAGCCAAGUUGGUAAGGCACCGGCUUCAUAUUCCGGAGAUUGCGCUGGUUCGAGUCCAGCCUGAGCGA